UUCCUUUAUAAAACUGACUCCCUGAUCAACACUGCUCACCUUCAAAUUUGAGUCCCUUAAAACAUCAUGCAAAAGUCUCUCUUGCAGUUGUGCUCGGCCAUUUGAAUUAGAUCCAACAUCUGCCAAGAAACAACUAGUUUCAAACUUAUGGCGAAUUGAAUUAAACACAGCUUUUGCAAUUGUGGUCUUUCCUAUUCCACCAGGCCCCCAUAUGCCAACCAUACUCUAAGCCAAUUGGAUGAUCAGCAACGUGCAGCUCACAUGAAGGAUUUAUUACUUGGGCGAAC
rnacentral:lncRNA from 1 species